rnacentral:rRNA from 1 species
GGGGUUAGUAUGUCUCAGUAACGGCGAGUGAGCGGCAAAAGCUCAAAUUUUAAAGCUGGCACCUUCGGUGUCCGCGUUGUAAUUUUGUGAGGCAUCUCCGGGUAGGGCGCCGGCCUAAGUUCCUUGGAACAGGACGUCAUAGAGGGUGAGAAUCCCGUGCUUGGCUGGCUGUCCCCGUCCAUGUGAGGUGUCUUCGACGAGUCGAGUUGUUUGGGAAUGCAGCUCAAAAUGGGUGGUAAAUUUCAUCUAAAGCUAAAUAUUGGUGGGAGACCGAUAGCGCACAAGUAGAGUGAUCGAAAGAUGAAAAGCACUUUGAAAAUAGAGUUAAAAAGUACGUGAAAUUGUUGAAAGGGAAGCGCUUGAGACCAGACUUCGGUGGGGAGUGAUCAGCUGUCCUUCUGGGCGGUGCACUUGCUCCCCUCCGGGCCAGCAUCGGUUGGGACGGCGGGAUAAAGGUCCCGGGAAUGUGGCUCCUCUCGGGGAGUGUUAUAGCCCGGGUGAAUGCCGCCAGCCCCGACCGAGGACCGCGCCUUCGGGCUAGGAUGCUUGGCAUAAUGGUCUUCAGCGACCCGUCUUGAAACCACGGGACC